rnacentral:rRNA from 1 species
GACGAACGCUGGCGGCGUGCUUAACACAUGCAAGUCGAACGAGUGGCGAACGGGUGAGUAACACGUGGGUGAUCUGCCUUGCACUCUGGGAUAAGCUUGGGAAACUGGGUCUAAUACAGGAUAGUGCAAGAUGAGCUCGCGGCCUAUCAGCUUGUUGGUGGGGUAAUGGCUACCAAGGCGCGAAGGGUAGCCGGCCUGAGAGGGUGUACGGCCAAAUGUGGACUGAGUGACGGCCCAGAAUCCUACGGGAGGCAGCAGUGGGGAAUAUUGCACAAUGGGCGGAAGCCUGAUGCCGCAACGCCGCGUGAGUGAAGAAGGUUUUCGGAUCGUAAAGCUCUGUUGUUAGAAAAGCGGUAACUAACCAGAAAGGGACGGCUAACUACGUGCCAGCAGCCGCGGUAAUAC